AUGGCCAUUAAGAUGAAGAAUAUGAGAGGGCAGCUGAAGGGGAUCACAGAAGACCGCAUUCCUUUCACUUUCCUGCAAGAAAAUGUCCCUCGCAUGCAGGAUAACUGGGAAACAACAGCGGCUGUGACAGAAGCAAAAGUCAUAGGGAGGGAUAAGGAAAAACAGGAGAUCGUGGUUCGUUUAUCUAGGAGCAUCACAAAAGAGAUCACCAUCCUUCCGAUAUAUGGUAUUGGAGGCAUUGGGAAGACAACCAUGGCACGAUUGGUUUUCAAUGAUCCACAGUUCAGAGAGUACUCUCGGGUGUGGGUCUAUGUGUCUGAGACGUUUGAUUUGAAGAAAAUUGGGAAUUCUAUAAUAUCACAACUAUCCGUUAGUGAUAGUCAGCCUACUGAACUUGAGAUGAUAGGAAAUAGCCUUAAAAGGCUCGUUUCUGGUAAGAAGGUCCUAAUCAUCUUAGAUGACCUGUGGGAGAGGGAACCACGUGAGUUGGAAAAAUUGAAGAAUAUGCUAAAUCCGGGUGAAGGGAGCAAAGUGGUGGCGGUAGUAACCACACGAGAAGAAAAUAUUGCACAGAAAAUUCAGACGGUGGAGCCGUACAAGCUAGCUCCCUUGACAGAUGACAUUUUUUGGGCUAUCAUAAAAGAUAAAACUUCCUUUGAUGCUAGAACUGGCAGAGUACGGUUAGAGAUGAUCGGGAAGGACAUUGCAAAGAAGUGUGGAGGUAUGGCUCUAGCAGCCCAAUCUGUUGGGUAUAUGCUGGACUCUAUGAAGUCAUCUGAUGAAUGGGUGUCGGUGAACAACAGUGAGCUCUGGGACGUGCUUGCCUCAAAAGAAUUUUCACCUCAUCAGGUGCAUGCAUCCUUGCUGCUAAGCUAUCGCAGUAUGGGUUCAUACUUGAAGCUAUGCUUUGCCUAUUGUGCAAUUUUUCCAAAAGGUCAUUGGAUAUCUAAAGAAGCUCUGGUUCACCAAUGGGUUGCUCUUGGACUUGUUGAGCCACCAACGGCAUCAUCCUACAAUCAACAGAGCAGUGAUAGAUAUAUUAAUCAGCUUUUAGGCAUGUGCUUCCUUGAACAUCCAAAGUCUUCAUGGGUGAGUAACUGA
rnacentral:rRNA from 1 species